GACGAACGCUGGCGGCGUGCUUAACACAUGCAAGUCGAACGGAAAGGCCCUGCAUUUGUGGGGUGCUCGAGUGGCGAAAGGGUGAGUAACACGUGAGUAACCUGCCCUUGACUUUGGGAUAACUUCAGGAAACUGGGGCUAAUACCGGAUAGGAGCUCCUGCUGCAUGGUGGGGGUUGGAAAGUUUCGGCGGUUGGGGAUGGACUCGCGGCUUAUCAGCUUGUUGGUGGGGUAGUGGCUUACCAAGGCAUUGACGGGUAGCCGGCCUGAGAGGGUGACCGGCCACAUUGGGACUGAGAUACGGCCCAGACUCCUACGGGGGGCAGCAGUGGGGAAUAUUGCACAAUGGGCGGAAGCCUGAUGCAGCAACGCCGCGUGCGGGAUGACGGCCUUCGGGUUGUAAACCGCUUUCGCCUGUGACGAAGCGUGAGUGACGGUAAUGGGUAAAGAAGCACCGGCUAACUACGUG
rnacentral:rRNA from 1 species